AUUUGAGAAACGAGUAAAGGAGUUUGAGUUAAGAGAGAAAGAGUUUGAUUCUAUCCGAAAAGCAGUAGAAGAUCACAGUAAAAAUCUGUUGCUGCAAGCAAAAAUUGAGGACCCUGAAAAUUUGACAAGCAGCGGAAGAAAUCUACAGUCUCUACUGAAUCAGCAUUUGCAGAAGCAUGAUUUGAUUUUUUGUAAAGUUUUUGACACUAUUAAAAGAGCCUGUAACCCUGCAUUGUUGGUGUUAGAUGCCAUGUCAGGAUUUUACCCUCCCCAUUCAAGGGAGGGAGAUUUGGAGUUUGAUGUGAGCAUUAUUAGGAGGAGUUGUAUUCUUUUGUUGGAACAGUUAUCAACUGUAGCACCAGAGAUUAAUGCUCAAGUACGAGAUGAGGCUAUGAAGGUGGCAGGUGAGUGGAAGAAGAAGAUGAGAGUAGCAGUGGAGAAUUCUCUGGAGGUGCUGGGAUUCUUGCAUCUUUUAGCUGCCUAUAGAUUGGCACCUGCUUUUGAUGGUGAAGAACUUGAAAGUCUUCUUUGUAUUGUUGCUCAGCACAGACAGGCUCCUAAAUUACGCCAAACCCUUGGAUUUGGAGAUAAAGUACCUGGUAGGUUCUUUUUUACUGGGAUUUAAAUUUAUCAGGUGCUAUCUGUGCUCUCAAUCACAUAAUAAAACUGAUUUUAUUUGUUAUGAGAGUGCUGUUCGCAUUUUAUUGAAUGUAUUAUAUAUUACUAUAGUUGAUCUAGAUAUAAAUCAUUUGUAAGAACUUGUCGAUGCAAUUCAUUUUGCUGCUAUGCCUUCUAGUAAGUUUAUUCUGAUUCUGAAGUUUGUAAAUUCAUCAUAUUUUUUAAAGUCUUGACUAGGCUAUAGGCGUUUCUACAUUUUGAAUUAGAAAGGUUGGCAAUCAGAAAAAUUUUCUAGUCAACUAUGCACUUGAUUCUUUGUCCGCAGGUCUCCAGUGCAGCAUCACGGCAGAAGGAAGGAGUUCAUCGUCUAUGCUUGUUGGCACCUCUGCCCCCACGAAUCAGCCGAUCCCUGGCCCAAUGAAUCUACCACAGUACACUGGAAUGAAUCCCAGUAAUAGAACUUCCUCCCCGUAUCACAGUUUAGUGGAGUGCAACCACAGCUUGAGAAUCAAUAUAAACGUCUUCGGAGAGAAUCACCAGCCAUCAUAGCCUAUACGCCACAAACACCAGCUUCUGGUAACCUGAGUAGGAGUUCUCUGGCUACACUGUAUGGACCGGGUGUGGCUCUCAUUGGAGGGCAAACACAGUUUGGUCUUUUAGCAGGUAUUCACUCAACGGUUUUGCUGCCAAAUGUUGCAGGAAUGCAAAACCGUAUCAUUUUCAGCACAGGCACUUCUUGGUGAAGUGAUGGUUACUCUCUGUACAUUGUAGAUGCUAAUCUACAUAGGCUUAUAAAUAUAGAAAGCCUAGGAUUCGUAUCUUUCCAUCAAUGUGAGUCCAAUGUCACAUGGUUUCAGAGCUCAGUAAAAAUUAAAGUUUUAUCUUUUUUUAUUUCGUUUAGCAAACAUGGCCGAUGGCGAGUCAUUGGAUAACAAGCAGGAGAAUGAUCCUUUCCUGGUACAUCCAUCAGAUAGUCCAACUGAUUUUGUAUGUUAUGAGAGUGCAAUUUGCAUUUUAUUGGAUAUAUUAUAUAUUGCUAUAGUUGAUUUUGAUAUAAAUCGUUUGUAAGAACUUGUGGAUGCAAUUCCAUUUUGCUGCUAUGCCCUCUGGCAAGUUUAUCUGAUUCUGAAUUUUGUAAAUUCAGCAUAUUUUUUAAAAUCUUUUACUAGGCCACAGGCAUUUCUAUAUUUUGAAUUAGAAAGGUUGAGCAAUUAGAACAAUUUUCCCGUCAACUAUGCACUUGAUUCUUUGUCUGCAGGUCUCCAGCGCAGCAUCACAGCAGAAGGAAGGAGUUCACCGUCUAUGCUUGUUGGCACCUCUGCCCCCACGAAUCAGCCUGUCCGUAGCCCAGUGAAUCUACCACAGGGCACUGGAAUGAAUCCCAGAAAUAGUACUUCCUCCCCAGUAUCACAGUUUAGUGGAGCGCAACCACAGCUUGAGAAUCAAUAUAAACGUCUUCGGAGAGAAUCACCAACUAUCAUAGCCAAUACGCCACAAACACCAGCUUCUGAUAACCUGAAUAGGAGUUCUCUGGCUACACAGAACGGACCGGGUGUGGCUCACAUUGGAGGGCAAUCACAGUUUUGUCUUUUAGCAGGUAAUCACUCUAGAGUCAGCAAAUAUCACUACCAAGUGUUGCAGGAAUGCAAAACCUUGUCAUUUUCAGCAUGGGAACUUCUUGGUGAAGUAAUGGCUACUCUCUGUACAUAGUAGAUGCUAAUUAACAUAGGCUUGUAAAUGUAGUGAGCCUAGGAUUCUUGUCUUUCCAUCAACGUGAGUCCAAUUUCACAUGGUUUCAGAGCUCAGUAAAAAUUAAAGUUUUAUCUUUUUUUAUUUUGUUUAGCAAACAUGGCUGAUGGCAAAUCAUCGGAUAACAAGCAGGAGAAUGAUCCUUUCCUGGUACAUCCAUCAGAUAGUCCAACAAUUGUUUUGGUUUCUCCUCCACUCACUGGUAAUAAGUAUGGAACGUGGGUAAGAACGAUGAUAAUGGCUUUGCAAGUGAGGAACAAACUCGGUUUUGUUGAUGGGACCAUUACGAAACCGGAUGAUGAUGAUGGUGGUAAAUGGCAACGUUGCAACGAUCUGGUUUGUUCUUGGGUGUUGAACUCGAUCUCAAGCGAACUUGCAUGUAGUGUCUUGUAUGCACAGUCAGCAAGAGAGUUGUGGCUGGAUUUGCAGGAACGUUUUCAGCAGACUAACGCGUCAAAAAUUUAUGAACUCAGACAAGCUAUCUCCUCUUUACGACAAGGUGAUGUAUCUGUCCACCAUUAUUACCGUAGAAUGAAAAGGCUUCGGGAAAAAUUAAUUUCAUUGCAACCUGUAGAACCAUGUGUUAGUGGGAAUGCAAAAGUUGUCAAUGAAUUACAGCGACGAGACUUUGGAAUGGAAUUCCUUCAGGGUCUGCAUGACAGAUAUGCGGCAGUGAGAAGUCGUAUUUUUUUGAUGGAUCCUUUUCCUAAGGCACACAAGAUUUUCGCACUUGUAAAAGAAGAAGAAACACAACAAGAUCUUCAUGCAUUAGCAGGACCCUUGAAAGCAGGAGCUCUUGCUAUACAAAAUCGGUAGCCCCUGCAACACAAUUCCCUUGAAAAUUGAAAGGGUAGCGAUAUUUCACCUGAGAGCAGAGGUUCAAAUCUGAAUGGUAGUUCUGGGAAUAAUCAAAGUAGACAGACGUGUGAACAUUGUGGGAAAUUCGGGCAUACAAAAUUCAACUGUUUUGAUCUGAAUGGCUAUCCAACAAAUUGGAGGAAGCGCAGAUGAGGGAGUGAAGUGAAUCCUAAAACACCAGCCACUGUAGCCUGCAAAGAACAACAGGAUCUUAUUUUCACUCAACAGCAGUAUCAAAUUCUCCUAGCCACAUUGUACUUUGGCAGUUUACAAUUUGUGAGUCUUGCAGGUAUAGCCCUUUAUUAUUAUUAUUAUUAUAUUUAUUUCCACACUGAUGUUACUGACCAUAUAUGUUGUUAGUUAGAUUUCUUUGAUUCCUAUUAACUAUGUCAUGUACCUCUUCGUGUUCAAUUGCCUGUGCUACAGUUUCCCUGUCACUCAUAUGGGGUCUCUUUUUUGCAAGAUUUUCUACUAAAGAGAUUUUUUACAUUCUGAGUUUUAAAUUCAAUUUACUGUCAGUUAGCCAUUUAACCAAACCAAACAAAUAUCAAAUAAUCUUUUCUUCUGAUUCCUGUUAAUUUUAGGACCUGUACAUGAAGGUUGGCCAUGGUAGGCAUUGUGUUCCUGCAGCAUCCUCUUUUCAUUCCCAAAUAACCUCAACAUGAGAUUGAUCUUUGGCGUUGUUGCCGACUUGGGCACCCUUUUCUUGGACUUCUAAAAUUGUUUUCAGAGACUUAUCCUAUGGUUAAUUUGCGAUGCUUGUUGUAAAGCAAAACAAAUUAGAACGUCUAUUUUUCAUUGGCAGUAUUAAAACUCCUUUCGAAUUAGUCCGUUGUGAAGUUUAGGUUCCAUUUUCUAUCAUAUAAGUUCUUUAGUUGAAAUGUGUUAAAUGCUAAUUAACACAGGCUGCUUUACAAUGAUACAGCUUACCCUUAAAAAUAGCUGACUUAUUUGUGCCAAAAAAAAGGGGGAAAUGAUGUCUCGUCUCUGUAGGGAAAUUCAUGAAAAUUAAUUUGUAUUCAUGCAAUUGUGUUACCUCAAUGACCUUUCUUGCAAUAGAUGAUGCAUCAUGCAGUACUAAGUGAUAGAUUACGGUUGAAGUAUUUUUGUGUGUUCUUUUACGUAUGGUAAAUAUAUUUAACUUGUGAAAUUACUUAUUUAACUAUGAUCCCGGAUAGAAUUUUUCAGUGAUUUAUUUUUUGCAAUAUGAUACAGCUCUGUUUUACAACAUAAUCCAACAUGUCAUGAAUAUAUUUGUUAUCAAAUUAGUUAUUAAAUACGGUAAACAAACAAAUAAAUAAUCUACUAAAGUAGUAAUACUACAAAUCCAAAAACAUUAAUCAUAAAAUGAAUUUCAAAUGAAUUGCAUUAGAUUUGUGGUUGAAAAAUCAAUUUGAGAUUUUACCCACCUCAUAUCUCUUAAAAUAAAAUAAAUAAAACAAUACAAUAAAUUAUUUUGAAAACUGUUAAUCUAAUUGCAUCAACUCACGGCUCACAUGUGAAAGUUAUUUAAAAGAGUACUGAACUUUGUAAAAGAGAAUAAAAAAUUAAUUAAAAUGCAAAGGGUUUGUCUUUUUCAUUAAAUAAUUUUCUGUCCUCUGUACUUUUUUUGCAUAUUUUUCAUUUGGUGAACUUAGCAAAUUCAAUUGGAAAAAAAAAAAAUGUAGCAUUUCAUUUUAUGGGGAAUGGUGAUACUUGCGGGGGAAGAAGCAGAAAAUGAACUUUCCUUUCCAUUUCCUUCUGACAUAUAAUACGUUUGCCAUUUUUCAACUAGAGACUUAUUUCUUUGCAUCCACAUCAAGCCAGCUGCUUUGAACUUUGAGGUGAACAUUGACAGUUCCGGUAGGUUCUUUCUGCAACUGCUCAUUUUAGUUCAUUUUGCAUGUGCUCUAUACUUAAAACUUUAUUUUCAACUGGGUUUGUUUUAGUUUCUAAAAUGGAGAAUUGCACUGUUAAUAUUUCUGAGGAGCUGAGAGCUGCUGAGUCAAAGAAACAAGCUUUACGGAGAUCCUUUGAUAUUGCUCAUGAACAAGCUAGUUCAGUUCAUAAGUUUACUGUUAAAUGGAGAGAUUUAGAGGAACAUUUUGAUUUAAUUAGGAAAUCACUUGAAAAGCAAAGUAAUGAUGUUGAUAUGAAGAUUAGGUUGUUAGAUCAGCGCGCUAAGGAGGUUUAAAGUAAAGAGAUUGAGAGUGCGUUUGGUAUUAAGGUUGGACAACUAUAACUUAAAAGUUGCAACAGUAAAGUGUUUGGUAAACACUAGCUGUUGUAGCUUAAAAGUUACGUUGAUAUGAUUUUUCACUUGUAUAAUGAAGAAUCUAUUAUAUCUUUAAUAAUUUUGUCAAAAUUAUUAUUUAAAAUUUAUAUUUACUACAUAUAAUUAACUUUUAUUUCAUAGUUAUGGUUUUUUUUCUACAGCAGCUGUAACUUAAAAGCUACAGCACCUCAAUUCCAAACGCACCCUGGGUUAGUUUUGGUGGAGAAAAAGAUCGAAGAUUGUAACGGUGAGCUUUCAUGUAAGGAAAAGAAUUGGGUUUGGUUCAAAAGAUGGUGGGAGAAUGUGAUUGUGAGCUUCAUCAGUUGAAAGAGAGUGAACUGAAUUUGUUGUCAGUGAGUCUUGUUUUGAAGAGGGAAGAACUGAGUUUGGUUCAAAAGUCGAUUAAUAAAUGUCAGGUUGAUCAGAAAUAGUUGGAAUUGUUGAAGAAUUUGUUGAAAAAAUGUUAGUGAGGAAAUUGAGUUGAAGGCAAUGAAACUGGGGGAAGUCCAAAGAUCGGUUGAGGAAUGUGAGAAACAGCUGGCAUUGAAGGAGAACAAAAUUUCUUCAAUUCAGUCAAUGAUCGAAGAAUAUGAAGAAGAAAUUAAAGCUAAGGAGAAGUCGUGUGAUGAGGUUAAAAUGUCUCUCACACUUGAGUUUUGUCUCACACAGUGUGUGAGACAAAACUCAAGUGUGAGAAGAAAGAAUUGGAGUGGACUCAAUCAUCUAUCAAGGAGCUCUCGGUGAAGUUUGAUUCAGAAGAGGAGAAGCUACAGUCAUUCCAGAGGAGGGUCAGAGAGCGGGUAAAUGAAGUUGAAUCUAAAGAGAGGGAGCUUGAUUCAAUGAAAAGGCAACAGAAGAAAUAUUUUGAUGAUAUUGGAAUGAAGGAGAUGGAGUACAAAGGACUAAGAAAAUAUGUUGAAGAUCUCAGUCAAGAACUCGCAUCAAAGGACAAGCAGUUGAAAUUUUUCAAAAAAUAAUGCAGCAAGGAGUUCUAGGUGAAAAAGGAGUUAAGUUCAAUAAAAAAUGAAAUUGCGGAAUACUCGAAUGAGGUUGAAUUAAAGAGGAAUGAACUUAAUUUGAUACAGCAUGCGGCCAACAAGCUGCAAUUUGAUUUGAUUCAGACAAUGGACAUUGGUUACCUCGGAGAGCUCAAAGAGAAGGAGAAGCUUUGUGAUUCACUCAAAAAAGGUUUAGAAGACUGCUUUCAAGAUCUUGAAGUAAAAGAGAGACAGUUUGAGAAAUGUGUUAAGGAUUUUGAAAUAAGAGAGAGAGUUUGAUUCCAUCCGAAAAGCAGUCUAAAAUCGAGGUAAAAUCUGGAGUUGCAAGUCAAAACUGAGGAACCUGAAAAUAUGACAUGGGAAGGAAGAAAUCUGCAGCUGCUAUUAAAUGAGCAUUUGCAGAAGCAUGAUCUGAGUUUUGGUAAAAUUUUCAACACAAUUAAAAGAGCACGUGACCCUGCAUCUUUGGUUUUAGGUGCAAUGUCAGGAUUUUACCCUCCUCAUUCAAGGGAGAGAGAUGUAGAGUUUCAAGUGGGCAUUAUUAGGAGUAGUUGUAUUCUUCUGUUGGAACAGCUGUCAACUGUAGCACCAGAGAUUAAUGCUCAAGUUCGAGAUGAGGCUUUGAAGGUGGCAGGUGAUUGGAAGAAGAAGAUGAGAGUAGGAGUGAGAAUUCUUUGGAGGUGCUGGUAUUCUUGCAUUUUUUUAGCUGCCUAUAGAUUGGCACCUGCUUUUGAUGGUAGUGAACUUGAAAGUCUUACUUCUUAUUGUUGCUCAGCCUAGAAAGACUCCUAAAUUAUGCCAAAGCCUUGGAUUUGCGGAUAAAGUAACUGGUAAGUUCUUUGUUAUUGGGUAUUUAAAUUUAUCAGGUGAUAUUUGUGCUCUCAGUUAUAUGAUAAAAUUGAUUUUUUUUGAGAGAUUCCUCUUCGCAUUUUGUUGGAUGUGUAAUAUCAUACUAUAGUUGAUGCAACUCUAUUUAGCUGCCAUGCCCUCCAGUACGUAUCCAUCUGAUUUCGAAGUUCAUACGUUCUGCAUUUUUCCUGAAAUCUUUCCUAGGCAUUUAUGUAUUUUGAUUUAAAAAGGUUGAGCAAUCAGAACAAUUUUCUAGUCCCACUAUGCGCAUGAUUCUUUGUCUGCAGGUCCCCAGCGCAGCACCGUGGUAGAGGGAAGUUCUUCACUGCCAAUGCUUGUUGGCAUCUCUGCCCACACUUAUCAGCCAGUCCCUAGCCCCAAGAAUCAACCUCAGUAUAGUGGAACAGAUCACAGUACUAGUACUUUUUACCCCCGAGUGCUACUAAAGCUCGAGAAUCAUGACAAUAAGCAUCCUCGGAGAGAAUCACCGACUUUCAGAGCCCUUACGUCACUAACACCAGCUUCUGUGGCUCGUAGUGGGGGGAAACACAGUUUGGUCCUUUAGCAGGUAAUCACUCAAGGGCCACAGCAAAUAUGGGUGCCGGCCCAAUCAAAUGUUGCUGUAAAGCAAAACCUUUACCAUUUUCCGCACAACACUUCUAGGUGAGGUUGUGAUUACUUUGCAGACAAGGAUUAAGUGCUGAGUUGAGUUUUUAUUGAAUACUAAAUCAAUAAUCGAUAGAUAAUGAUAUAAGAAAAUAAAAGCACAAAAUAAAUUAUUAUCAUUGAUUCAAUACUCAAUAAAAAUUAUAAACCCUAAUCCUUUCAUAAAUAGUGGUGUUAAAUGCUAACUAAUAUAUGCAUGCUAGUUUACGUUGUGUAUAUUUGAUUUCACUCCUCUUUUAUGAUAGCUUGUGAAAUUACAUAUUUAAUCAUCCUACUUCUACUCAUUUCUUUUUAUUUUAAAAAAAUAAAAUUCACUUAUUCAUAGAAGCCCUUACCAUACAUGACUAAGGCACGAGCCACUUUGUUGGUCUCUUUCAAGAAAUUAGUUUUUAUUACUUUAUUAACUUACAAUUUUUCUUUUUGACCCCCAAGCACUAAUUUCGUUAGCGGCUACCGCUCCUCUUAGAUCAAAUUCACAAUUCACAUCCUUGAUUCUUUGAAAAGAAAAAUUGUGAUCAUGAUAAAAUAAAUGAUAUAAAUGAAUUUUCGCUUGUGAUUUUUUAAGUGUUGGGCUUGGGGACUCGGGCUUUUGGUGUAUUCUUCUGAUGCGGCUACAUAAUAAGAAAAGUAAAAAUAUUAAUGUAACAUAUCGUUUUUGUUUUUAAAUUUAUUUCGAAAUUAGCUUGGGAAGUAAAAUCAUUUGUGAGCUUUGUGAUUUGCCAUGUGUCCCAAAGCUUGGCGAUAUGUGAUUGGCUGCGUAAUUGAGAGUUAUCAUCAUCAGCCUCCCUAUACUUUUAUACUCUAUACGGACUGCCUAAUUUCUUGAAUUGAUCAUUCACGACCAUGAGCCCUUUUUACAAACUUUAAUUGAAAUCCGUCACCUUAUAAAACAGUAAUGGUAGAUGAAUAAAAUCAUGAAAUAAUGAUGCGAGAUAUAUGGUGAUUGGUUCAAGUUCUCAGAGAGAUUCUCAUUUUUCUGACAGAUUUUUAUUUUUUUAAUUAAUUUUUUUUAUAUAAGUUAGACAUAUCUUGCUGACUUGCUUGUAGAUGGGGGUAUAUAUUCCUCAAAUAUUUGCGCUAUAAUAGAAUUAAUAUAGGCAGAUAGUACUCAUUUGAUUGUACAGUACGUAUUAUUAAUUUAAAAGAGAAUAACAACAUUUUUCGCCUUAUAGUCAAUUUUGAGCAACUUUUAAAAAAAAUAUAAAAUUGAUUUAAAAUUUUAUAAAAAGACAAAUAUUUGUAUCAUCUUUUUGUCACGCAUUUAUUUCUUAAUAUUUUUCAUAAAUUAAUAGGAAAAUAAGUCUCAUUAAGUAUUUUAAUCUCUAAAAUUCAUUUAGUAUAGCGGAUAAAUAAUUAUCUAACUAAAGAGUAACAGGUAAUCUUCAGAUUGCGAGUAAAUGUAGUUUUUUUUUUUUAUUAAUUAAUAAAAAAUAGCAUUGAAAUAAGUGUAAUUGAUUAUUCUAAUAGUACUUUAUAUAAAGAUAUUUCAUAAGAUCUUAUAAUAAUUAAUGUAUGACUUUAAUUGGAAAACUAUUAGUACUUAAAUAUUAAUGAUCAUAGAAGGCAUUGUGUAAUAAAUUAUUUGCUAUUUAUCGUUAAUGAUACCAUAUAUGUCGACGAUAAAUGAGAAAUAUUUUAAUCAACAACUAUGAUUGAAAAAUAUAUAUGUGAAUAUAAUUAGAUGAUAGUUUGGAUAUAUAUUUUUAGGCUAAAACUAUUUUAACUAAAAUUUUUUACUCAAAUUUUUAAUACAAAAAUUAAAUUGUUGAUUUCAUAUAAUUCAAUGGUUGAUAAUUUAACAUCAUAAUGUUGCUUUAACUUGGGAAAUUAUCAUUGCACCACCUCCAUUUUUGGCUUAUGUUCAUCCAACCACCACAAAAUUCUAAUAUGUUCAUUGCACCACCUUUCUUUUUUAAUUUGUAUCAAUUAACCACUUUUACACUAACACCAUUAAAUAAUUUAAAUGAAAUGAUAAUUUUACCCCUAAAUAAAUUAAAAGACAAUUUUAUCUUAUAAAAGCUUUGAAAAAUAAAAAAAAUUAUAAUUAUAAAAAUAUUCCAAAAUUUAAUAAAAAAUAAAUCCCAAAAUUAAAAUUUUUAUUUUAAUAAAAAUUAUUUUAAUAAAAAAUAUAAUUAUAAAAAUAAUUGUAAAAUUUUUGGAUUUAAUAAAAAUCCCCUAAAUUAUUAAAAUUUUGGGAUUUAUUUUAAUAAAAUUUUGUGAAACUAUAAUUUUUAAUAAAUAAAGUCAGUUAUUUUUUUUAACAUUUUGUAAAAUUAUAAUUUUUAAUAAAAAUACUUAUUAAAAUUUUACAAAAUCUAAAUUUAAUAAAAAUGAGCUGAGUAUCUCUAUUUGGGAUUUAUUUUUAAUUAAAAUUAGGGGUAUUUUUAUAAUUAUAUUUUUUUUUAUUUUUCAAAACUUUUAUAAGAUAAAUGGUCUUUUAAUUUAUUUAGAGAUAAAAUUGUCAUUUCUUUUAAAUUAUUUAAAGGUAUUAGUACAAAAGUAGAUAAUUGAUAUAAAUUUAAAAAGAAAAGUGGUGCAGAGAACAUGUUAGAAUUUUAUGGUGGCUGGAUGAACAUAAGGCAAAAUGGAGGUGGUGCAAUGAUAAUUUCCCAUUUAACUUUCAAUAUGAAAUAUUAGAUUUUGAGAGAUUGAUGGCACUUUGGUGUCAAAAUUUUAAGUUUCAAUAGUCCAAACUAUAUUUUAUAAUAUAAAAAAAAUGAACGGAGAAAUUUUUUUCUCAUUCAUUCCUAUAUCAUAUAUUAUUGGAUGUAAUUUCUUUUAGGGUUGAGCUAUUUGUAUUCUAAAAUAUAUUUUGGACACUCAUUUAGAAUACUCAUUAACAAAAUUUAAAUAAUCAAAUUUUACUUUGAACACUCUUUCAAAUUCCAAAUUAGGCCUUCAACAACAAACUCAUUCCAUUGAGUACUUUUUCUCUUUACACCAACAAAUAUAAUCCAAUGAACCUAUAUAUAACGUGUUUGUUCCUUUCUUUUUUCUAUUAUCGAUUUAUUCCCUAUUAAUUCUUGCUUAAUUUAUGAUGUUCUUAUCUUCAUAUGUGUGGAUAACUGAAACACUAGGAUUACUUUGUUUGCCAUAUUCAUGAAUGAGAGAAGAUCAACAAGAAAAACUGAAAUUCAGAAACCAAAUUUUGAUUGUGGCAAUUUAUUGCUCCUUGUGAUUUCUUAUGGUCUUCAAGCCAAAUCUUUUUCUCUUCCCCUCUCUCUUUUCUUCUUCUUCUUCUUUGCUUUUUUUUUUUUUUCUUUUUCUAAGUAAUAUAUGCUUUCUCUUUGUUUUAAGAGAUACGAGGGUGUAAAAAUUAUAAAUAUUAUAUCAAACAUUAUCAGUCACCCACCAAAAAGUUGUCUUGUUGUAAAAAAUAUUAAAAUAAAAAUUUUCUUAGAGGUUUAUUAAUGCAAUUUAUGGCAUUUAUUUAAAUGUAAAUAUUUAAUUGUGUUAUUUUUUAGUGUUACACCAUAUAUAAAAUUUAUGAUUGCAAUAUAUUUAUUUGACUUGUGUUGGAUGGUAUAUUAGAUAUCGUAUCUUAUGUACUUAAAAGUAAUAGAUUUUGAAACAUUUAUGCCAAAAAAAAAAAAAUUAACAACAUUGCAAAUUAAAAGGAGGGUUGAGAAGUAAUUUUUAAAUAAAACAUAUUAAUCAAGUGAAAUAAUUUUAAACUAUAAGAGUGGCUGUAUUUAUUUUACUGCUGUUAUUUUACAAAAACUAUCCACCUCCUUAAACAGUCAAGAAACGGUUUAAAAUAAAAUUGAAUAAUUUAUUUACAUAAUAUGAAAAAUAAAAAGAGUGAGAAAAAAAUUAAUGCAACAUAUCAUUUUGUUUUUAAAUUUAUUUUGAAAUUAGCUUGGGAAGUAAAAUCAAAUUUGAGCUUUGUGAUUAUGCCAUGUGUCCCAAGGAUCGGCAAUAGGUGAUUGGUGUGAAACUGAGAGCCGUCCUCAUUUAAAUGAUAUGUAUUUAGCCCUUUUAUACUUUGUAUCAUAUACAGACUUCUUAAUUUCUUUUAAUUGUCAUUCUAAUUUGAUCAUUCACGACCGUGAGCCCUUUUUACAAAUUCUAAUUGAAAUCCGUCACCUUAUAAAAGAGUGACAGUGGAUGAAUAAAAUCUGAACAAAUAAUGAUGUGAGAGUCGUGGUUCGAGUUCUUAGAGAGAUUCUUAUGUUUUUAAUUUAAAAAUUAGAUAAAAGUAAACAUUAUAAAAGUAGAUAUUUUUCAUUGAUUUGUUUGUAGAUAGCAUUAGAUAUUAAUAGAAUUAAUAAGAAAAAGAUUUGUGCUAUAAUAGAAUUAAUUUAGGUAGACAAUUGAUAUUUGAUUGUAUAAUACAUAUCAUUAAUUUAAAAAUGAAUGAUAACAACUUUGUCUUAGAGUUAAUUUUGAGGAAUUUCUUUAAAAAAAAUAUAAUUAAUUCAAAAAUUACAAAAAGACGUAUAUAUUUAUCUUUUUAUCAAAUUUUAUUUCUUUAUUUUUUUUUAUAAAUUAAUAGGAAAACAUGGUGCAUUAAAUAAUAAUAAUAGAACUAUGAAGUUGUAUGAAAUUUCACAUCAAUAUUGGGAUUGUUACGGACCCUUGGAUUUAAGUGUUUAAUAAGUAGUAUUCAUUUAAUAGGUGAAUAAAUAGUUAAUAAAUUUAAAAGUAGCAGGUAAUAUUUAGGUCCCGUGUAAAUAUAGGUUUUUAUAUUUAUUAGUUAAUAAAAAUGCAGUAAAAUAAAUAAAAUUAAUUAUUUUAAUAAUACUUUAUAUAAAGAUAUUCGAUAAGGUCUUAUAAUAAUUAAUGUAUGCCUUUAAUUGCAAUAUUAUGAAUAAUUAAACAUUAAUGAUCAUAGAAGGUAUUGUGUAAUAAAUUAUUUGCUAAAUAUGUUUAAUGAUACCAUAUAAGUUGAUUACAAAUGAAAAAUAUUUUAAUCAACAGUGUAACUAUGAUUGGAAAAUAAAUAUGCGUAGGUAAUUACAUGAUAGCUUGAAUAUAUAAUUUUAGGCUAAAGCUAUUUUAACUUAAAUUUUUUACUCAAAUUUUUAACACAAAAAUUAAACUAUUAAUUUCAUGUAAUUUAAUGGCGGAUAAUUUAAUAUUAUAAUAUUAUUUUAACUUUUAAUAUUAACUAUUAGAUUUUGAGAGAUUAAUGGGGUUCUUUUGUGUCAAAAUUUUAAUUUUUUUAACCCAAACCAUAUUUUAUUAUGAAAAUAAACAUGAACGGGGGAUCUUUUUUUCUCAUUCAUUCCCAUAUCAUAUACUAUUGGAUGUAAAUUAUUUUUUUUAGGGUUGUGCUAUUUAUUUUCUAAAAUAUAUUUUAGACACUUAUUUACUUUUAAUACUCAUUAACAAAAUCUAAACAAUCAAAUUUUACUUUGAACUCUUUCAAAUUGCAAAUUAGUCCUUCAACAGAGUUACUCCCUCAAUUACUUUGUUUCUUCCUACACCAACAAAAAUAAUCCAACAAACCUAUAUAUAAUGUGUUUGUUCUUUUCUUGUUCUAUUAUUGGUUUCUUCCUUAUUAGUUCUUGUUAAUUUUUCUUGUUCUUAUAUGUGUGGGCAACUGCAAUGUUAGAAUUAUUUUUAUUUGCCAUAUCCAUAAAUGAGAAAAGAUCAACAAGAAAAAUUGAAAUUUAGACAUCAAAUUUUGAUUGGUGCAAUUUAUUGCUCUUUGUGAUUUUUAUGGCCUUCAACUAGAUCUUUUUCUCUUCCUCUCUCUUUUCUUCUUCUUCUUGGCUUUUUUUUUUCAGUAAUAGUAUGCUUUUUGUUUAUUUUAAGACAUAAGAUAACAAUUGUAAAAAUUGUAAAUAUUAUAUGGGAAAUCGUCAGUCACAUGCCAAAAUUUAUCUUGUUAUCAAAAAUACUAAAAUAAAAUCUUACUUAGAAAUUUAUUGAUGCAAUUUAUGAAAUUCAUUUAAAUGCAUAUAUUUAAUUGUGUUGUUUAUUGGUGUUACACUACAUAUAAAUUUUACAAUUGCAACUUAUUUAUUUAAUUUGGGUUGGAUAACCUAUUAGAUAUCAUAUCUUAUGUACUUAACAGUAAUAGAUCUUUAAAUAUUUAUGUUAAAAAAUAAAAAAUAACAACAUUAUAAAUUUAAUAAAGGGUUACAAAGUAAUUUUUAAAUAAAAUAUGCUAUUCAAGUGAAAUAUUUCAAACUAUAAGAGUAGUUAUAAUUAAUUUACAAAAAAAAAGGGGCCUCAGUUAAGAAACGGUUUAAAAUAAAAUUGAAUAAUUUAUUUUUUUAAUAUAAAUAUUUUGUAUCAUUAAUCAUUUGCCAUGGUUAAAGCACUGACAUAAUAAUACGGCAAUUUUUCAACGGCCUUUCUUUGAGUCCACAUAAGAGAUAAUAAUACCAGCUGAUCGGAAGUGAACAUGGCCGGUUCCGGUUAGUUCUUCUGCAACCGCUUUAUUUUAGUUCAUUUUGCAAACGUUUUUCACUCGCACUUUAUACUUUCAACUGGGUUUUUUUUUUAAUUUCCAAAAUGGAGAACUGUACUGUUAAUAUUUCUGAGGAGUUGAGAGUUGCUGAGUCCAAAAAGGAAACUUUACGAAGAUCAUUUGAUAUUGCACAUUCACAAGCCAAUUCAGUGCUUUUGCUUACUGUUCAAUGGAAAGAUUUAGAGGAACAUUUUGAUAUAACUAAGAAAUUACUUGAAAAGCAAAGUAAUGAUGUUGAUGGGAAGAUUAGGUUGCUAGAUCAACGCGCUAAGGAGAUUGAAAGUAAAGAGAUUCAGUUAGUUUUGGUGCAGAAAAAGAUCGAAGAUUGUAAUGGUGAGCUUGUGUGUAAGGAAAAACAAUUGGGUUUGGUUAAAAAGAAGAUCGGAGAAUGUAAUUGUAAGCUUCAAUUGAAGAAGAAUGAACUGAAUUCGCUGUCGGAGAGUCUUAAUUUAAAGAAGGAAGAACUGAGCUCGGUUCAAGAGUGGAUUAAUAAAUGUCAGGCACAUCAGAAGGAGUUGCGAUUGCUGAGGAAUAUGAUUGAAGAAUGUUGUGAUGAAAUUGAGUUGAGAGAGAAGAAAGUGGGGGAAGUUCAAAGAUCAAUUGAGGAGCGUGAGAAACAGCUUGCAUUUAAGGAGAGCAAAAUUUCUUCAAUUCAGACUUUGAUUGAAGAAUAUGAAGAAGUACUUAAAGAAAAGGAGAAGUCGUAUGACGAGGUUAAAAAGUCUCUCAUACUGUGUGAGACCAAACUCGAAUGUAAAAAGAAAGAGUUGGAGCUGACUCAAUCAUCUAUUAAAGAGCUCUCGGUGAAGCUUCAUUCUGGAGAGGGGAAAUUAGAGUUACUCCAGGGGAAAGUCAGACUGCAUGAAAAUGAAGUUGAAUCUUUAGAGCAGAAGCUUGAUUCAAUGAGAAAGCAACAAAAGAAAUAUUUUGAUGAUGUUGAAUUGAAAAAGAGGGAGUUCAAUGAAAUAAGAAAAUACAUUGAAGAACUCAAUCAAGAUCUCGCAUCAAAGCAUAGGCAGUUAAAAUUUGUCCAACAAUCUAUUGAAGAAUGCAGCAAGGAGUUCCAGUGGAAAAAGGAGGAGUUAAUUUCAAUAGAAAAAACAAUUGCGGAAUGCUCAAAGGAGGUUGAAUUGAUAAAGAAUCAACUUAAUUUGAUACACAACGAGUCAAAUUUGGUUCAGACAAGGACAAUUGUGUGCCUGAAAGAACUCAAAGAUAAGGAGAAGCAUUUUGAUUCACUCAACAAAGGUUUAGAAGAUCGCUUGCAAGAUCUUGAAGUAAAAGAGAGGGAAUUUGAGAAACGAGUAAAGGAGUUUGAGUUAAGAGAGAAAGAGUUUGAUUCUAUCCAAAAAGCAGUAGAAGAUCGCAGUAAAAAUCUGUUGCUGCAAGUAAAAAUUGAGGAACCUGAAAAUUUGACAAGCAGAGGAAGAUAUCUGCAGUGUCUACUGAAUCAGCAUUUGCAGAAGCAUGAUUUGAUUUUUUGUAAAGUUUUCGACACUGUUAAAAGAGCCCGUGACCCUGCAUUGUUGGUGUUACAUGCCAUGUCGGGAUUUUACCCUCCUCAUUCAAGGGAGAGAGAUUUGGAGUUUGAUGUGAGCAUUAUUAGGAGGAGUUGUAUUCUUUUGUUGGAACAGUUAUCAACUAUAGCACCAGAGAUUAAUGCUCAAGUACGAGAUGAGGCUAUGAAGGUGGCAGGUGAGUGGAAGAAGAAGAUGAGAGUAGCAGUGGAGAAUUCUCUGGAGGUGCUGGGAUUCUUGCAUCUUUUAGCUGCCUAUAGAUUGGCACAUGCUUUUGAUGGUGAGGAACUUGAAAGUCUUCUUCGUAUUGUUGCUCAGCACAGACAGACUCCUAAAUUACGCCAAACCCUUGGAUUUGGAGAUAAAGUACCUGGUAGGCUCUUUGUUACUGGGAUUUAAAUUUAUCAGGUGCUAUCUGUGCUCUCAAUCACAUAAUAAAACUGAUUUUAUAUGUUAUGAGAGUGCUAUUCGCAUUUUAUUGAAUGUAUUCUAUAUUACUGUAGUUGAUCUAGAUACAAAUCGUUUGUAAGAACUUGUGGAUGCAAUUCCAUUUUGCUGCUAUGCCCUCUAGUAGGUUUAUUCUGAUUCUGAAGUUUGUAAAUUCAGCAUAUUUUUUAAAGUCUUUACUAGGCUAUAGGUGUUUCUACAUUUUGAAUUAGAAAGGUUGAGCAAUCAGAACAAUUUUCUAGUUAACUAUGCACUUGAUUCUUU
rnacentral:lncRNA from 1 species